AUUGAACGCUGGCGGCAUGCCUAACACAUGCAAGUCGAGCGAGCGGCGGACGGGGGAGUAAUGUCUGUGAAACUGCCUGCUGGAGGGGUAUAACUACUGGAAACGGUAGCUACUACCGCAUACCAUCAGAUGGGCCCAGGUGGGAUUAGCUAGUAGGUGGGGUAACGGCUCACCUUGGCGACGAUCCCUAGCUGGUCUGAGAGGAUGACCAGCCACACUGGAACUGAGAUACGGUCCAGACUCCUACGGGAGGCAGCAGUGGGGAAUAUUGCACAAUGGGCGCAAGCCUGAUGCAGCCACGCCGCGUGUGUGAAGAAGGCCUUCGGGUUGUAAAGCACUUUCAGCGAGGAGGCGUUACCCGCAGAAGAAGCACCGGCUAACUCCGUGCCAGCAGCCGCGGUAAUAC
rnacentral:rRNA from 1 species